rnacentral:lncRNA from 1 species
AUGCAGAUUUCCUCUGGAACCCAGGACACAGGAAGGCUGGGAAGUUGGCUGCUAAAAUCAAGGCACUUUCACGAAAACAGAAUCAAAAAGCCAAGAUUUACUCUGAGAGUUAUCACUGAUCCACACGGGGACACACACAUUCCCAGGACCCCUGUAUGUGCCAGUGAGCUCUGUUGCCCGAACCAAGAGCAGCUCAAGAGCUUGUGGCAGAAGUUUGCUUGUUUUUAGCACUUACCUCCCUAAACCUUUUGCCACCCACAAAACUAGUGUAUUAUGCAACUAGAGAAUCAAAGCUGAACUUGUAUUCUCAGCUCCCGUCUCUAUGCGAUCAUUUGUUAUUUGCCAAACACCAUUCUAGUUUCUGGGAAAAUAGCAAAGAGAAAUAGAGUCCCUGGCUUCAGAGAGCUUACAUUCUAAUUGUAAAGACCAGUGGGUGUAGAAAGCAGAAGUAAACUGGCUGUGGUACUAAGUGAAGAGCGCGACAAUAGAGUAGAGACGUUUGUGUAUAUGUGUCUGAGGCCGCUGGGCAGCGCUGGCUUAGCUAAGACAAUGGGGAAGACCUUUCAAUGGUAGACCCUUCUCAAUCCUAAGGAAGAGAAAACCAUGUCUUUGCAGAGAUCUGGGAGCAGGUAGUUCAAGCACAGGAAAAACAAUUGCAAAGGCCCUGAGCUAGGAAGCUCAAAGACAUUCUUGCAUUUAAUUUUAAUUGUAAGAUGCAUUUAAUGUUAUGGUGCUGGAUUCUUUCUCAACAAUAAAUAUUUUGAAGGCCUAAGGAUUAUUUUGAUAUAAAUGUGAUAUCCUGAAAGAACACACACAUAAGCCCGAGGAAAGCCAGAGUAGCUGGGAUGUAGGAACGGGAACAGGGGGAGGACAGAGUGGAGUGAAACGGAGAGGGAGGUAGCCAGGAGAGGGGUCACGCAGGGUCUUGGAGACUGAGCAAUGCGGGCCUUGCUUGGAGGCCAGUGGAGGGCUGGGAGAGAGGACACAGUGUGAGCUCUUUCGCAAAGACUGCACCAUGGCUCUGCGGGUGAGUUAGAUGGCACAAGCAGACCAGGGAGGCCAGGGGGAAGGGCAGUGUGCGUCUCCAGAUACAAGAUCAUUGGUGAAACCACUCUUACCCUUCA